GAGUCCAUGCUGCCUGUCUGCUUCUGCUCGAGGACGCAGGGACAGCAGAGGAGGCCAGGCCCAGAGUAGGCAAGAGGGGCCGCCCCAUGUGCACAGCAGGGAAACAGGACAGUGGCGGGAGCCGGGGAGACAGAGGUGGCCCCGAGAGACCAGGUUGGCGAGGACGCACGGCCCCGGGGCCAGGACUUGGGACCCCCCCCCCCUUCCUCAUCCUGAGGAACCCUACCUAGGCUGUGGGUCAAGGUGACGCACCCCUGCACCCCCUCUGCCGGCCAGGGCCCUGCCAGCCCGCUGAGUGGUGACUGGUACUCAGCACUGUGAGGUGAACGGACAGAUGCAGAGACGGUGGGGGCAGGAUGGGACGACGACAGCAUGGAGGGAAGACGCCAGGGGCAGAGGAAACCGCUCACCUUGUCGAAGUGGUUGAAGGACGCCCGGAACUCCUGCAUCUGCUCCUGGCUGAUGCCCUUGGCAUCGCGGGUGAGGAUCUGGUUCUCCACCUCGUUGA